rnacentral:rRNA from 1 species
UACGUAGGGUGCGAGCGUUAAUCGGAAUUACUGGGCGUAAAGUGUGCGCAGGCGGCUAUGCAAGACAGAUGCGAAAUCCCCGGGCUCAACCUGGGAACUGCAUUUGUGACUGCAUGGCUAGAGUACGGUAGAGGGGGAUGGAAUUCCGCGUGUAGCAGUGAAAUGCGUAGAUAUGCGGAGGAACACCGAUGGCGAAGGCAAUCCCCUGGACCUGUACUGACGCUCAUGCACGAAAGCGUGGGGAGCAAACAGG